rnacentral:lncRNA from 1 species
GUUUGUGCCCUGCCCAGUAGGUUGCAGGCGGGCAGCUCUCCAGGCUCUUGGCCGAGUUGGGUGGUUUGUCUCCAUUUGGCUGCUGUGAAAUCACAGGGGCCUGUUGGCUGCGGUUGUUUGUGGGCUGCUUCCCUGGAUGGUGAGGUCCUGUGCUCCGCUCCUGGGCUCUGAUGGCUUUCCAGGGAACACUGUUUGGCAUGGGAUACUCAGGAAACUUCCCAAUCAGACAGAAAGAAUAAACACAGACUUCAGCUGACUAGCUCUGCAUUUCCUUUGGGGUUGGUUCUCAGAAACUGAAGGCAAACACAUGUGGAUUGUGGUAAAAAUACAUAAUCAAGAUCCAUUUUUAAGGUCUGGCGCUGAAAAGGCCAAAAUGGCCACAAAAAAAAUUGCCAGUGGCUGUGAGGUUUCACGAGCAACUGAGGGUAUUAGAACCCUUCUUUCUAGAGCAACAGCUCUGACCGCCAUUGCUUUUGUGUACCCAGGCCUAUUUCGAACUGAAAUCUGCCCUAGAGCCUGAUGAAAGCAGGCACAAACCACCUAAGCCGUGCAGUGUUCCUCUGUUGAAAACGCCUCUUCAUUUUCUCGUGCUAAUCCAAAGUUGUAUUUCAUUUAAGGUUCACUUUGAUCAGAGGGGGACUGUGGGUCCCAGAGUUUCUCUUAGUCUUGAUUCCUACAAAACUGAACAAGAAUAGUUUGUACUACACUGUCUUGUACAGCUCCGUGGCGUGAAUCAGGUUGGCUUUCCAAUCAGAUUGGAGGUCCUAGACACCAAGGACUUGCUUUCUAGCUUCUUUUCUACUCUUUCCAUAGUUGGAUUAUUUUUAUGGAUCGGGCAGAUGGGGAGGAAAGCUAGAGUGACUCGGCUUUCCAGAAGAUGCCCUGAAGUCAAACACAGCGAUGAUGAGUGACGCGCACCUGUGUGCACCAGGCCUGAAGCUGGGGGAAGCGAGGAGGUCCUUGGGCUCCUGCGCAACAUUUAAGGGGCACCAAAGAACUCAGUAAUCAAGAUCAAUAAUAUCUUAAUGCAAUGUGUUUUGAAAAUAAAAUUAUUUUUGUGCA